ensembl:lincRNA
AUAACUUACCACUUUGGCUCUGUCAGUGUGAAACUGGUAUACACAUAAAAUCCGCCAUCUCAUAUACAGAGAUUGUCACUGAAGUAUUGUGUCAGAAAGAAGAAGGAAGUGGUCUUUUUUGCUUGCCGCCGUGAAAUAACUUUUCAUUCAGACAAAAAAGAAGAAAGAAGUUAUCGAACAAAAAUGACUGAAAAAAAUCAAAAAGAUAAUUUAUAUUUGGCAAUAAUAUUAACACUGGGGAUUUUUGGUGAUAACUGCUGGGCAGAGCCCCCAAGAAUAAUCAAUGGAAUUUUGAAUGGAUCCGUUAUCUUGUCUGCUAGGAAACAGAUACAUAGUCCUUUUCAGAUCCAGUGGCUGGCUGAUGGCAAGAUAAUUGCAACCUUCUCCAAUGGACAAGUGAAUACUGAUAGAAUUCCAGAAUUCCAAAAUAGGUUGAAUCUUUACAAAGAAAAUGGAUCUUUACAGAUUAACAGACUGCAAAUGAAAGAUGGGACCAACUACAUAGUAAAACUUCUAAUAAGAAACGAUUCCAAAGAUGACGUUGAGAAGUAUGAUGAGGAUAUGAGACUUGUGAUAUAUGAAAAGAUAAAUAAACCUGUACUGGAAGUGAGACACAAUUUCUCAACAUCAAGGAUAUGCAAUUUUUCCAUAAUUUGCUCUACAAAUACAGAACUUUCCACUGUUUCUGAGUGUGACAACAUAGAGGUUUUCCAGUGUUCUAAAUCUUAUGUAAUGGAUCCAAAUUCUACUACUUCCCUUACAAUUACUACAAAUGGCAGCUCCAUAUUGUGCAAUAGCAGUAAUGUGGUUAGUUGGGACUCUGACACAAUUGUUGUCAACGAUGCCUGCUUACAUAACAACAAAGGUAAGUGGGAUGAAUACGUAUGCUUUUCUUAUACUUUUUUUUCAAUACUCCAGUUUUCAUCUUUAAGAUAGGGGUAUUGAGGAACCAAAAUAAUGAGUGUCAUUAAUUAUUUGACAUGUUUAGAGCAUUGGUUCAUAACUGCAAUCCUUGAGCUAUAAUUCAGUAGUUUUAGGUCCAGGGCUGACAUUGUACUCCACUGGGUUUGAGUCAUGGAUUUAUGGCCCAAAAGCUAAUAAUAUUUUGUAUAUCUCCAGUAUCAAACUCAUAUCUUAUAGUAAGGAAGUAUAAAUAAAGGCACUAUAACAUUAUGAAGGUACCAUAUUUAAAGGAUAAACCUUAGCCUAAUUACAGUAGGAUCUAUUUAUAAGAGUGCUUUACCAACAGUCAUUGUGAAUUGAAGUUGAAUGAAAACAUUAAAUUUACAAAGAGUGCUAUUUAUAAAGUGAAUCCUGGUGACUGUCAGCUGUCUCUUAAUUAUAGCUUUAUAGAUGGGAUGAACAAAACUAAAUUCUAUUUGACAAUAUCAGCUCUACAAAUGUUUUCUGCAUGCGAUAUGUUGAAACGAGCAAAGAUACGAACAAAAACAGUUGAUUAUACAGUUAGUUGAAAUAAACAAAAUAUGCUUCUUAAUAAUUUUAGGAUAAAGGGAUAAUAUUUGUGAACAUUCUUUUAAAAAUAUAACAGUCACCAGUUAAGUUCCAGGAUCAGGUUAGGCUGAGAAGAAAAGUGUUGUUUCUGUAGUCUCUGAAAGCUUCUAACGAUGAUGACGUAUACUUUCACAGUCUGUUCCGGGUUGUAUACAUUGCGGAAUUCUAUUUGGUUAAAAGUUGAGAUCUGGUAUUAUAAUCCAAUUGUACAUUAAAUGAAACUGAGUCAACAUUGCAUAUAUGUUUAAGAAUCAACAACAAUAACUGAAAUGCACAAGUUGUUCUACAUUCUGCUUGCAUUUGACCUCUGUUACCUAGUUGUGUCAAUGUUUUAAAUUAAGUGCCCUUUUAAAUUAUCUUAUCAAAGUGUUUAGGCUGCAUACAUUGCCUUCCAGAUUUAUUCACAAUUGGGUUUUCUGGAAUUCAAUAAAUUAAUUAUUUGAAUAUUUGGAGGGCACUCUAUUCAUUUCAAUUGUCAGAAACUAUAAAAUAACAAAUCCUAAAUUUCAAAAGCAAUGAUGAAAUGGGCAAAAAUAAAUGAACCUUUGAAAAAUGGUUACCUUUUAUGACAUAACCUUUGGAUAAACCUUUGAAUAUUAUCAGUUGACUUUAACUAUUAACUAUUUCAGACUACUUGUCUGUUGCUAGGUUAAAAUCACUUAUUUUUAAAAUAUUCUUUUUAUUAUUAAUUACACACAUACACAAUAUUUACUGAUUACCAUUCACUGAUUUUCUAACCUCUUAAUCCAAUUCAGAGUGAUGGGGGCACCUAAGCAACAGGUGUAAGGCGGGGUACACCCUGGAUGGGAUGCCAGUUAACCUGCCAGCACAUGUCUUUGGUCUGUGGGAGGAAACUGGAGCAGCUAGAAUAACCCACACAAACACAGGAGGAACAUACAAACUCCACAUAGAUAGACCCCACGUUCGGGAUUGAACCCAGGGCCCAAGCGCUGUGAGACAGCAAUGUUAACCACUGUGCCUCCAUGUUUUUUCCCCAACGUACUUUUGACUGACUACUGGCAUUUUUAUUACAGAUAAUGGAAAAGUAAAUCCAUGGAAAAAUACCCGUUCAAGACUGGCGGUAGUCGCAUGUGGUGUCAUUUAUAUUAUCACCCUCAGUUUGUUGUGCUUCAGAGGUAAUAAAAAUUUUAAUUGUACACAAACGUGUAGUUCCUGACCAGAAACAGAACACAUUAAACAAUGAAUGUUUUCAUAUCAUAACUGUUUUGCUUUGUCAACUGUAUGUUCUUCACUCUUCUUUGCGGUCAGAAUAUUUUCCUACAAUCAGCAUAUUUAUUAUUCUGAACCACUGAACGGAGAGGUUUUGCACUGGACUUAUAGUUAACUUCUAUUUCAAUUUCCAAAUUUGCUUAGCCUUCUACAACAUUUGACAGGUCUGCUUAUUAUUCAUGCCUCUUGUGAUAUUUCUGCUACCUCAGAUUGCCAUUAGGUAAUAAUCCUUAUACAACUGCGAGCGAUGGAAAUUCACAAAGCAUGAAAGAAAUGUCAAAUGAACAAAGAAUUAAAGUCUAAUGUCAUGCUAAUAAACAAGAUCAAGUAGGUAGAAUCUGCAUGCAUGGGUACAAAGGAACAGGUAAAGGUUUUUUCUAUGCUGAAAGGAGAAGAGACACAAUGUUUUGGCAGUAAAGCUUUCUUCAGGUGUGUCAUACUAGUUAUAGUUUCCAGCUCCUGCAACUCCAUAGCCGGCUGUCAAUAUCCCAGUGUAGCGUUGAGGCUUAUUAAUAAGGCAGAAUUAAGUGUUUCUGAGCUUUCCCAAAUUAGG